rnacentral:lncRNA from 1 species
GGGUCUCAGCACCACGCAGUUCAGACAAGCAGCCUAACCACUCUGUGCCUUGGCUUCCUUCGCCAGGAAAUGCGAGUGAUGACUUUCUCUCACGGAGCUGUUGGGAGGCACAGAUCCCAAACAACACCUGUAAAGCACUUAGCCCAGGACCCGGCCCUAGCAAGCAAUUAGAAGCUGUCUGCCUUUAUUUUAAGUCGCCCCUCCAGCUAAUGGGAAACACAAGGGCAGGAUCCCACCUGACGUCUUCUCUGUUAGAGCCCAACGAACAGCUAGGAGAGACCUUUGCCCCCACACUAAACAAAGGAGAGGGGCGUGUGAAGGGAAAAGGAGCCUCGGCUUCCGUUCAUAUCCCCCUUGAAGGCACAGCAGACUUGAGGAUGACCUGAGAGGUGUCAAGGGAGGGUCAGUGGGUCCGCCACGCUGUCCACCCCUGCCCUUGAAGAG